rnacentral:lncRNA from 1 species
UGUUUUUGCCAGGGAGGGAAGAAAGAACAAACUUCAUGAUAUUUUAAUGGUGGAGAAACUGAGGCAAAUGACGCUAGGCACCAUGGAGCUUAAAAGUCAUAAGAAACUUUUAGAUUCCUUUAAUAUGAGAAACUAAGGUUCAGAGAGAGGUUAAUGUGAAAGGCUACAAAGAAGGCAGAAGUUCAUACACUCAGAGAAGCCACACUCUGCUAUAAGGUCAAAUGGAAAGGCUCAAAUAUCCCCCAAGGGUGCGGGAAAAACAUGGAUGGCAGGGUCCCAGGAUAUGCAGUGGGGUCCACAAGCAGGUGACUUUCAGUGAGGCAAGAGGGGAGAGACAUCAACCUGGAGAGUCUUAGGAGGCAUCAGCAAGACAAAAUGGUCUGGUAGUUCUCAGUACCAGAAAAAGCAGCCCCUUCACUUACUCCUUUGUUCAAAUCACAACCUUUGGGACAGGCGUCUUUUUCUCUCCAUUAUUUCCCAUCCUCUGAGCCACAGCACUUUCCCUCUGCCAUCACACCACCUGCCUGUUCCCUACCUCCACUGUGCCAUUGACAUCACAAUCGAGCCCUCUGUCCUGGCUAACAGUGGCCCCUACCUGUAUAACUCAGGGUCUGUAGACAUGGUUCUGGGAAAGCCAGACCAGAUCAGACAAGGAGAGGAGGAAGGUGGACUUUGAGCUCCAUGUGCCUUCAUGGCUGCCAAUGAUGCAGGGGCUCCUUGCUGCUCAGACCCAGAAGCAAAACAUAAAUAGGCAACAGAGUCCAAGUCCAAGUCACAGUGGAAGCCGAAGCCAAAGCCAGAGCCCCAGUCCCAUUGUCAGUCCCAGCCCUAGUCCACCCAGGACUGGUAACAGGACAGCACACUGCAGUAGCCAUCACUCCUCAUCCCAUGCCCAACCCCACACUCACUCCCACCAUUUGCAUAACACCAACCAUCAUCCCUCCAACACUUGUCCUACAAGAAGGAAGGCAACAGGGCUAGCAAAAAGAAAGGCCAAGAAAGGUCGGUCACCAUAUGGAAGGGAAAAACGAGCAGAUAGAAGAGCUCCAGUCCUGAAGAGAAAGUUCCCAGUCCUCUGGAGCAGGGGAAGCAGCCUCCACAGAGACAGAGACAGGCUCUGGAGCAGCCACACAGUCGUUAGCCUGGAGAGCAGCAGAGACAGCUCCAGGGAGACACCCAAGGAUGAGACACCUUACUGGGUAGGAGAACAGAGAUUCCUGAGAAGGAGAGAGGCAGUGACACCUGAUGAGCAGUGCAGACCAAUGGAGAGGCCCUCAAAAGCCUCACAGAGUAGGGGCAGCUCCUGGUAGGCGCUCCUGAUCAUCACAGGUGAGAUGCCUGCUCUGCUGGGG